UAGUGCUCUACGUUUUCUACUGGGAAAACUGGUGCAGCACCAACGCUGCGAUAGAUUUCGAUGAAAACUCCAUUAGCGCAAUAAUAGUGCAGGUUUAGUGUGGUUCAUUUCUCCUUAUCAUUUCUCCUGUCGCGCUAUAAGAUACAUAACCAAAAAUUUUGUGAUGUGUUUUUAUAAACAGUGAACAUUAAUAUUCCAAUACUUAAAAUGGUUAAUUCCUGUUGUGUUUGCGGAAAAGAAACAAAUCCAAACGAAAAUCGUACAUUUCACUGCUUUCCUAAAAAUGCAGAUCUUAAACAAAAAUGGUUUGCAGCAAUCGGUAAAGUUGUCAAUUAUUCAUCUGCUCGUAUUUGUAGUGAUCAUUUUUCUCAAAAUGAUUUUAAUCAUGAUACUACAAUAAGGAAACGUCUACUUUCAACUGCAAUACCUAGUAAAAAGAAUAGAAACAGUUUAACACACAAGGAAAUAAAUGAACAGAUAAAUGAUUAUAAAGAUGAAAACUGUUUAAAUCAAAACAUAAAUACUACUACUAGAGAGAGGAAAAUGAGUAAUGUACAAAUGGAUAUCUGUAAUGAAAAUGUGCCAGAUAAAAAAAUUUAUUUGAAUCUUUCGAGUAAUAAAGUUGCAACUUUUACAAGAAACAACUUUACAUCUGAUGAGGCAUGGAAUACAUUUGUCCGUUCAACAAUAUAUAGUAGGCAGAAAAAGAGAUUUAUUAUGCAAACAUGCAGACGUUUGAGGAAAAAAGUUUGCAAUUUUAGAACCUUAUUAAAGUCUUUGGGAAAUAAGCGCUUAUUAGCAAAUAGUAGUAUAGAUGCUAUAAAAAUUAGACAAGUCCAACUAUGAAGUCAGCAAACUUCACUCAACAGUAAAUUCUCAAAGAAAUGUCAAGGACCUUCAAGGAUAUGGUGCCUCCGCAUGUAGAAGAAAUUAUUUAAAAAAUGAUCAUGAAGAAGCGAAAUGUAAAUUAUAUGCAAGAAUUAAAAACAUUUACGGUUACCUUGCACUUCCAUUCUCCAGCUGCGUAUAAGUAUGUUAGAUCAUUAUUUUUAAAAUGCCUACCUCACGAAACUAGUUUCUAAAGAUGGAUGCAAAAUUUGAACAAUGAACCAGGUAUUUGUGAGCAAGCAAUACAAGAAAUUUGUAAUCAAAUCGACCAAGCCAAAAAGAGAAAUAAAGAAUUGAUUUUUAAUUUA
rnacentral:misc_RNA from 1 species